rnacentral:rRNA from 1 species
UACGUAGGGUGCAAGCGUUAAUCGGAAUUACUGGGCGUAAAGCGUGCGCAGGCGGUUUUGUAAGUCUGUCGUGAAAGCCCUGGGCUCAACCUGGGAAUUGCGAUGGAGACUGCAAGGCUUGAAUCUGGCAGAGGGGGGUAGAAUUCCACGUAUAGCAGUGAAAUGCGUAGAGAUGUGGAGGAACACCGAUGGCGAAGGCAGCCCCCUGGGUCAAGAUUGACGCUCAUGCACGAAAGCGUGGGGAGCAAACAGG